AUUGAACGCUGGCGGCAUGCCUUACACAUGCAAGUCGAACGGUAACAGAUCUUCGGAUGCUGACGAGUGGCGAACGGGUGAGUAAUACAUCGGAACGUGCCUAGUAGUGGGGGAUAACUACUCGAAAGAGUGGCUACUACCGAAUGUGAUCUACGGAAGAAAGCAGGGGAUUGCAAGACCUUGUGCUACUAGGGACGCCGGUGGCAGCUUAGGGAGUUGGUGGGAUAACAGCUUACCAAGCCGACGAUCUGUAGCGGGUCUGAGAGGACGAACAGCCACACUUGGACUGAGACACGGCCCAGACUCCUACGGGAGGCAGCAGUGGGGAAUUUUGGACAAUGGGCGCAAGCCUGAUCCAGCAAUGCCGCGUGCAGGAUGAAGGCCUUCGGGUUGUAAACUGCUUUUGUACGGAACGAAAAGCCCUGGGUUAAUACCCUGGGGUCAUGACGGUACCGUAAGAAUAAGCACCGGCUAACUACGUGCCAGCAGCCGCGGUAAGAC
rnacentral:rRNA from 1 species